AGGCGUGUUGGCAACAUGCUUGUAGUCUCAGCUACUCAGGAGGCUGAGGCAUGAGAAUCACUUGAAUCCAGGAGGCAGAGGUUGCAGUGAGCCAAGACUGUGCCACUGCACUUCAGCCUGAGCAACAGAGUGAAACUCUGCCUCAAAAAAGUAAAUAAAUAAAACUAAACUUUGAAAAUUUUCUUUUAUAUAUAUUAGCCAUUUACUUUUUUUAAAAAAUGUGUACAUUUUCUGUUCAAGGUUAUUUGCUCUUUUUUCUCUUUGGGUGGUUUAUUUUCAAUGAUUCUUAUUUUAUACAGCAAGAGUAUAUUAACCUCUCAUCUCUAUGAUUUGCUUUCAAUUUCAGUUUCUGUUGAGCAUUUUUAGAUCUUUAUUUUUUAUACAUUUGUGCAUUUUAGAACUUUAAUUUUACACAUUUGAGUUUAUUCAACUUUUACCCAGGAUUUCUGCUUACUGUGCCAUGCUGGGAAAGUCUUUCUGUAACCUAUCAUAUAAGCCUCUACCUAUAUUUUCUUCUAAUACUUUUACAGUUUCACUUUCUCCAUGUCAAUCUUUAAUCCAUUUGACAUUCAUGCUCGUUGUACAAACCAUUUGCAGAAUCAUCUUUUCCCUUCCAAUUCCACAUGUCAUCUUCAAUACUCAAUUCUUACUAGUCUUAGGCCAGGUUGCAAGUGUUUUCACGAUCUGUCUGGUGUUGUAUCAUUAGCAGAGUUUAAUUAUUUUUAGUUUUAUAGUAUUUUAGUGAAACUGGCAAAAUGUAAAUAAAUGACAGGUGUGAAUGGGUGAGGCCCAACAUGUACGCGAAUGUGUUACCUUAUUAUAAUACAAGCCUUCUUCUGGUGAAAAUUCACGUUUCAGUUCAUCCCCUGCACCACAGUGGGCCUGCGCACAAAUCCGCAUGAGCCUUCCCGUGUUACAUAAUAAAAGGGCGGCAUUGGUGGCAUCCUCAAUUGAUUCAAAGUUGUGAAUUCCCUUUUCAAAACAAGAAAAGCUUUUUUUCCACAACUGUUGCUCGGCAGCAGACACAGAUUUGCUCACUUUACAGAGAAAGAAAGAAAACAACUGUGUAAGCAGACAUCAGUGUAAACCUUAGCACUGUCUCUUGAUGAGAUAAGAGGAGGAUGGCAGUGACAGGAGUGUGGUGGCGAGCCAGUCACCUGCAGUCAACCACGGCUCAUUGCUCUCACCAUGCCUGUUACAUGAAGGUAUGUAUGUAUAGGAAAAAGCACUGAAAAACUCUCCAGUUUCAGGCAUCCACUGGGGAUCUUGGAACGCAUCCUCCAAGGAUAAGUGGGGUCUACUGUACAACACUUAAGUAUAACCCUCUUCACUAUUAACCAAAUGAUAUUAAAAUAAGCAAAGAAAAACAUCUGAGCAAAGUGCCAUUUUGUGAAGAUCCAAAAGCGUGGUCCCCAUGGAGUCUGAAGAGAUUACAACCUGUGUUGUAUCCAAUUUCCCUAGCUUCCUGACUACCACUUUCCAGGCUCCCUCACUGACUGCCCCCUCCAGAUGCACCGUAAAUGCACAGGUUCUCCCACUAGCAAUGAACUCUUUGAGGGCAACAUUUGUAUCCCUAAGUGCCAAGCAUUAUUCACAGAUCAACAGGCACACAGGCUGGGUGCAGUGGCUCAUGCCUGUAAUCCCAGAACUUUGGGAAGCCAAAGCGUGAGGACUGCCUGAGGCCAGGAGUCCGAGACCAGCCUGGGCAACCCAGCAAGACUUCAUCUCUAAAAAAAUUUUUAAAAAUUACUUGGGAGGCCGAGGUGAGAGGAUUGCUUGAGCCCAGGAGUUCGAGGCUGUGGCAAGCUAUGAUUAUGCCACUGCAUUCUAGCCUGCGCGACAGAGUAAAACCCUGUCUCAAAAAAAAAAAAAAAAAGAAACAACCAAAACCAAAACCAAAGGCCCACAGAUGUUCAGCUUACCUGCUCACCUCAGUUCUACCUCAGCCCCUUUCUGUUCUGUCCCUGUGUCCAGGCUUUACAUUCUUAUCUAUUCUCACGGCUUCAACUAUUACCUUUAUGUGAAUGGUUCUCAGUCUGUCUCACUAGCCCUACAGCUCUUAGCACACUUCAAAUUGACUACAAAUUAUACCUUUCACAUACAUGUUCCAUAGUGAACUCAAAUUCAACAUGGGCCCAAAUGGUUUACCAUCUCACAUCUUACUUACACCAUCCCACAUCUUACUACGCCAUCCCACAUCUUACUUACCCACUAUCCCACAUCUUCCUCACACAGGCCUCUUGCUCCCUCUAAACGUACACUUGCACCCUUUGAGAUCCCUGGCUUCUUCCUCACACCGCCUCCUUGGUCUGGAGUGCCCUCCUUUCCUCACAUUUGCCGGCUGAUGCUCUACACAUCCUGCAUCACCCUGCUCAACAACACUUUCCCAAAAGCCUUCUAACUUAUAACCUCCAUAAAUGUCUUAUUUCCCCAGUCUCCCAUUAUACUUCGUCGGUACUCAUCCACAGCAUUUUGAGGCUUUGUGUUCCUAUCUAGCUUCCCAACAUGAAGAGAGAACCAUAUUUUAGCCAGUUACAUAUCCAACAUAGAGCCUGGCACAUGGCUGGAUGUCCCAUUUGCUUCUGAAUUGAUCAGAUGGAGUGAGUACAAAAGUAAGAAUGAAGAACAUUGAAAUAAUUCAUUCCAAGGGAAAAUCAUGUGUUCCUAAUUCUAUUUCUUAAGAAUAAUAAGAGGUUCUCUAAUAGAGCACCUCUUUAUGAUAUAAAAUCAAGUGCCACAGUUCUUUGCUUGACUCAUACAAAAUUAGCAUAAUUUUCUGAGAGAACAAGCAAUAGAGAGGAAUCUAAAGAGAUACUCACCUAGUCUCUCACUCUGUAAUGCAGCAGCCUGAUUCAUGUAAAACACACCAAUUUCAUUUCUAAUGUUACCCAUUCUCUUUAAUACUUGUACAUAGUGUUCUGGAUUUUGGCUUUUCAAGUCACUAAACUGCAAGAUUUCAUUAGCAGCCUCAUAACAUUUACAACUAACAGAGAGUUGACUUUCUAAGUCUGUAGACAAAUCAGUUGCCCAUGCAAAUCCUGAAAAGAAAAAAGGGAUACAUCAAUGCGAAUCAUGUGAUUCCUUCUUCCUCAGUAUCCAAAUGAACCUGAGAUUCUAAAUUCUAAGUAAUAAAAAAUGCAAUAUAGUGUAAGUAUACCAAGAUUCAAUCAAUACAACAAUAUUUAAGUUUCAUAAUAAAGAUCUAUUUAUUUAUAAAAUUAUAUUUCUUGGGAUAUUAAUGUUGGAUAAAAAUAUUUUCCUGCCUAUGAAUAUCAAACAAUUUCUGUGACCCAGGUUUUCCCAGGUACACUUGUUUAUUAGAAUGGACCUAAAGUUGUCCACUAAUACAAAGUAAAGUUGCUAUUUUUAACUAAUGGAAAUAGUUCUUGAAAUAAUGUCCCAAUAUUAACUUUAAGUCACUGAAGAGGCUGCUACAGAAGCCCUCGAAGAUUAAAAAUGCCAUCUAGUGGGGACUAGAGUAAAAAGAAUAUUUAACUGAAAUUGCUAUGAUGGGAGUAGUAAAAAUACACCAAGGACUUUCCUACUACAUUAAAACAUGAUUAUUUGAGAAAGACGGAGAGAGGGGAAGAAAGGGCAAAACUAUUACAAAAUAACACAUUUUUCCCUCUCCCCCAGUAUACUCCUCUAGCUAUGAAUUGUCUAAAACUCUGGGAGGCAAACAUCAAGUAAUAUUCAGUAUAACAAUUUAAGAGCAUAAUAAAACAACCCCAUGAGACAUUACAGAAGCACCUUCAGAAGACUCAUCUUUUACUUCAUUCACUGUGUUAAUGGCAGCGUGGUUACACACUGUGCUGAGGUAAGAGGGAGGGAUAUCGCUGCUGCGGAUCAGAUUAUUCUACUUCCCAGUUUUAAAGCCUGACAAUUCCAAACAGAGUGACAUAUUAAGCAAGACAGGUGGCUAUGAACUAACUUUAAAAACAAUGAUCACUUUAUUUCAGCCCCAAGGAAUCAUUCAGAAGGUUAAUUAACCUCCUUCACCAACUGUUAUACCUUUCAAAAGGAAACCUAUGGCUUUGUUAGCUGACUACAAGUGUUACCUAGAAGAACCUCAUGAAAAGAAGAGUGUAAAAAGCUGACACAAGGCUGGGUGCAGUGGCUCGUGCCUGUAAUCCCAGCACUUUGGGAGGCCAAGGUGGGAGGAUCGCUUGAGUUGAGGAGUUUGAGACCAGUCUGGGGCAACGUGGUGAAACCCUGUCUCUAACAAAAAUACAAAAAUUAGCUAGGUGUGGUGGCGCAUGUACUAGUCCCAGCUACUUGGGAGACUGAGAUGGGAGGAUCACUUGAACCCAGGAGGUGGAGGUUGCAGUGAGCCAAGACUGCCCCACUGCACUCCAGCCUGUGUGGCAGAGCGAGACUGUGUCUCAAAAAAAUAAAUAAAUAAAAUAAAAUAAAAAGUUGACACAACUGUCUUCAUAUCUUACUUUAUAUUUAGUUCUAGUUAUAUAAACAGUAAUUAUAAAAUACUUAAAAACCAUUUUAUACAAAUACACAAGAU
rnacentral:lncRNA from 1 species